rnacentral:rRNA from 1 species
UGCCACAGCCGGGUAAUACCGGCAGCCCGAGUGAUGACCGAUCUUAUUGGGCCUAAAGCGUCCGUAGCUGGCCGACCAAGUCUCCCGGGAAAUCCACCCGCCCAACGGGUGGGCGUCCGGUAGAAACUGGCCGGCUUGGAACCGGAAGGCUCAGAGAGUACGUCCGGGGUAGGAGUGAAAUCCCGUAAUCCCGGACGGACUACCGAUGGCGAAAGCACUCUGAGAAGACGGCUUCGACAGUGAGGGACGAAAGCUCGGGUCUCAAACCGGAUUAGAUACCCGGGUAGUCC